AACGAACGCUGGCGGCAUGCCUAACACAUGCAAGUCGAACGAGAUCUUCGGGUCUAGUGGCGCACGGGUGCGUAACGCGUGGGAAUCUGCCCUUUGGUUCGGAAUAACAGUUGGAAACGACUGCUAAUACCGGAUGAUGACGAAAGUCCAAAGAUUUAUCGCCAGAGGAUGAGCCCGCGUAGGAUUAGCUAGUUGGUGUGGUAAAGGCGCUCCAAGGCGACGAUCCUUAGCUGGUCUGAGAGGAUGAUCAGCCACACUGGGACUGAGACACGGCCCAGACUCCUACGGGAGGCAGCAGUGGGGAAUAUUGGACAAUGGGCGAAAGCCUGAUCCAGCAAUGCCGCGUGAGUGAUGAAGGCCUUAGGGUUGUAAAGCUCUUUUACCCGGGGUGAUAAUGACAGUACCGGGAGAAUAAGCUCCGGCUAACUCCGUGCCAGCCGCCGCAGUAA
rnacentral:rRNA from 1 species